AGCUCGUGUCGUGAGAUGUUGGGUUAAGUCCCGCAACGAGCGCAACCCUCGCCUCUAGUUGCCAGCAUUCGGUUGGGCACUCUAGAGGGACUGCCGGCGACAAGUCGGGGGAAGGUGGGGAUGACGUCAAAUCAUCAUGCCCCUUAUGACCUGGGCUACACACGUGCUACAAUGGGCGGUACAAAGGGCUGCGAACCCGCGAGGGGGAGCGAAUCCCAAAAAGCCGCUCUCAGUUCGGAUUGCAGGCUGCAACUCGCCUGCAUGAAGCCGGAAUCGCUAGUAAUCGCGGAUCAGCAUGCCGCGGUGAAUACGUUCCCGGGCCUU
rnacentral:rRNA from 1 species